rnacentral:rRNA from 1 species
GAUGAACGCUGCCCGAAUGCUUAACACAUGCAAGUCAACUUGAACUUCGGUUUGGGUGGCGGACGGGUGAGUAACGCGUAAAGAACUUGCCUCACAGAUAGGGACAACAUUUGGAAACGAAUGCUAAUACCUGAUAUUAUGAUUAUAUGGCAUCGUAUAAUUAUGAAAGCUAUAUGCGCUGUGAGAGAGCUUUGCGUCCCAUUAGCUAGUUGGAGAGGUAACGGCUCACCAAGGCGAUGAUGGGUAGCCGGCCUGAGAGGGUGAUCGGCCACAAGGGGACUGAGACACGGCCCUUACUCCUACGGGAGGCAGCAGUGGGGAAUAUUGGACAAUGGACCAAGAGUCUGAUCCAGCAAUUCUGUGUGCACGAUGAAGUUUUUCGGAAUGUAAAGUGCUUUCAGUUGGGAAGAAAAAAAUGACGGUACCAACAGAAGAAGUGACGGCUAAAUACGUG